AGGGCAUCAGGGUGACUCUUUUUCUUGUCGAAAGGAGCAGCAAGCUCAUCUCCAAGCUUGCGUCCAACAUGGAAAGAUAAAAAUGCUUCUGAGAAUUCAUUGACGGAAACAUAGCUGCUGCAGGAGGGAGAUAAUUGCUGUUCCUUGUAGAAUGUGGAUGGAUUGCCUUAUCGAAUUUACUAUCUGAAAAGUUGUCGAGCUGUCCAAACCAGUUGAUAUUUCAUCCAUAAACAAUGCUCUAGCAGAAAUCCCGCGAACCAUUUCAUCACCAACCAAAGUAUCCGCACAUACCUCAAGCCCCAAGAUCUGUCAUGAAAGAUACAGAGUGAUUUGAAUGUCCACAUAUGACAAUGUCUAUUGAAAUGAAGACAAUGCAUUGACUUGGCUAGGAACUGAUGGAAUAUAAGAUGAAUUGUAAGAUUGGCAGUCAGGUGGUCAGACGAACCUUCAUGAACAUAUCAAUAUCGGGGUCAGGCUUAAUGUUUGCUUCCUUUUCUCUCCUCGAAAGUUCAGCCAGCAUUUCUGUCAUGCUGACUUAUGUAAGCUGACGUCCUCUGGGGUACAAACUCGUGCAUCUCGUGGCCGUUUUUUCCGGCCAAGGCUAACAGCAACGUUGUCUUUCCAGAGCUCGGUGGCCCCAAAAGCAGCGUCAUUCUGAAAAAGAUAGGGAAAGAUUGAUUCUUUGCUAUUAUCCAUAAACAUCAUGUGUAUCAUGGAUCAAAAGUUUUUUUUUUUUCAAGUUA